AGCUUAACUCAGGGAAUGAAGCCCUAAUAUUGGCAAAAGGCGACUAGGGAAUGGAGGCCUAUGUCUUAAAGGCUCAACUCAGGGAUUGGAGCCCUAAUGUUGGCAAAAAGGCGACUAGGGAAUGGAGGCCCUAUGUCUAAAAAGCUCAACUCAGGGUUUGGAACCCUAAUGUUGGCAAAAGGCGACUAGGGAAUGGAGGCCCUAUGUCUAAAAAGCUCAACUCAGGGAUCAGAGCCCUAAUAUUGGCAAAAGGCGACUAGUGAAUGGAGGCCCUAUGUCUAAAAAGCUCAACUUAGGGAUUGGAGACCUAAUGUUGGCAAAAGGCGACUAGGGAAAGGAGGCCCUAUGUCUCAAAGGCUCAAUCAGAGAUUAAAGCCUUAAUGUUGUCAAAAAGGCGACUAGGGAAUGGAGGCACUAUGUCUAAAAAGCUCAACUCAGGGAUUGGAGCCCUAAUGUUGGCAAAAACGCAACUAGGGAAUAGAGGCCCUAUGUCUAAAAAGCUCAACUCAGGAAUUGGAGCCCUAAUGUUGGCAAAAAGGCGACUAGGGAAUGGACGCCCUAUGUCUAAAAAGCUCAACUUAGGAAUUGGAGCCCUAAUGUUGGCAAAAGGCGACUAGGGAAAGGAGACCCUAUGUCUAAAAGGCUCAACUCAGGGAUUGGAGCCCUAAUGUUGGCAAAAGGCGACUAGGGAAUGGAUGGCAUAUGUCUAAAAAGGCUCAACUUAGGGAUUAGAGCCCCAAAUGUUGGCAACUGGUGACUAAGGAAUGGAGGCCCUAUGUCUAAAAAGGUUUAAGUUAGGGAUUUGAGCCCUAAUGUUGGCAAAAGGCGACUACGGAAGGGAGGCCCUAUGUCUAAAAAGCU
rnacentral:lncRNA from 1 species